ensembl:lncRNA
AUGCGCUGUUCUUCACCGUUAGGACUGGAAAGAAAGGCUGACAAGCGAACUCCUAACCCCAAAAGGCUGAAGCGUAAGAAAAAAGAAAAUAAUACAACUACGUUAGAAGGUGGCACGUCGUCUUCCAGUCAGCAUGGUGCCCCAGGAAGGGCUUCGGCCAAACUGCGGGUGCUGACAGCAAAAGUACUGCUGUCCAGACAGACUGAUACUGUGGUGCAAAUUAGUUCCAUCGUGGAGGAAAAUAAAGCCCAAAGGAAUCCUGGUUAUGCUCGGCCUGCAGAGGUGGAUCCCCUGUGCGACAGACAAGAAAUCUGCUCCAUUGUCAGAACUUCACCACGCCAGAGGCCUUCCAGGCUUCCCAAAAUUCCAGUUAACACAAAAGUGUUCCAGCCUCCCAAAGAAGUGCCUGAAGAUAUUAUUACGAGUACCAAAAAUUGGAUCUACUGUAAACACAGAUGAGAUUUCUGGGUUUCAGCAGGGUCAACAGAAGAAGUAACUGUCUCGCUGCUGUGGCAGGGAGGUGAAACAGAACUACUAACCUGUAAUUAAUGACUGUAUUGUUUUGGCAUAUACACUGUUUGAAAUGUAGUUUAAUGCUUUGCAGUAAGCUUGUAAAUACUUCAUUCACGUAGUUAAUAUUAAAUUAUUUUGUACAAGCAACUAGUUCUUAUUCUAUGCAUUGUUCUGUAAGGAUUCCAUAAAGAUGAUUCUUCAGUUUGUUUAGAGUUUAAAAAAGUGUGACUCAAGAACAGCAGACUAGAUUGCAUUAAUGGGAUUAUUUUGGGAUCUUGUUCUGCCAAGAUUUCUAGAUUUCUCUAGUAGCAUUUGCAUCUAAAGUUGUGACCUCUACUUGAGUAAAGAAGUGUUAACUGUUUACAGAGGUAACUGCACGUCCUGGAAAUGGGUCUGUAAAAUGUUCCUGUACGCUCCGCGACUCCGAAGUCAGUAGCAUGCUACCAUUAAACUCCCUGAAUGCUUAGAUCUGCAGAACUUUGGAGGUGCAGAACUGUGUGUGCUCUGCUGUCAAUUGACUUCUAAACAUGAACAUAGGUUGCCUUCCCCAUCACUGCAGGCGAGCUUUUUGUGAUCAGCACCAUCCCCAUCCUGGCACAUCCACUGCCCAACCGCUGGCAUCUCGGGUGUUUGUAAUAUCACCUAUCUCGUUGUUUCUUCCAGUGCCUUCACACUUCUGCAGAGGAGGUAGGUGCCCUACAUGAAUACAAGGGUGGAAAAGAGGCUUUUAGAGCUCAGCUUUCUCAAGAGCUGGAUAUUGGUGUUCUGGAUUUUGAGGGUACUGCUCAAACUACAUGGCACAUAGGUUAGAUUCCCAGUUCUUCCAGUUCCACUUGUGGAUCGUUAAUCCAUAAAUGUCGUCUUCAGCGGUGUGCUGAAUGCCUCAGGAAACACUGAUGAGCACAUUUUUUCUCCACUUGAAUUCACUGCAGGCUGAAAUAAUUUGGAUCUCUACAGUGUUCUCACUACGACACCCCUUACUCAUUUUGUAGACAUAAAGGAAGUUUUUCAAUGUUUUAAAAUGAUAGUAUGGCUUUCCAAACCUCUUGAAGUCUGAGUUUGUUUCUCAGUGGUUUUACCCAGAAUAUUUAUGCUCUGGAAAAUAGUUCUGUAUUUCCAAAAAGACCGUGUCAAGGAGAUGUAUAAAAUCUGCAACUUUAAUUAGUUUAAAUGCAUUUGAAAAUUACCUGUGGAAGUUCAGACCCUGAGCCUUUUCCCAUUGCUCGGGGGUAGAAGGAAGUGCAAAUAAAUGCUGCUAGAUUAGUCUAUGAACA